UAAAUGAUUUCUUCGGAAUGAACUUAAGUGGAUUAGUGGCGGACGGGUGAGUAACGCGUGAGUAACCUGCCUUACACAAGGGGAUAGCCGUUGGAAACGACGAAUAAUACCCUAUGAUGUUUCUAUCUCGCAUGAGAUAUUAACCAAAGUGUUAGCGGUGUAAGAUGGACUUGCGUCUGAUUAGCUAGUUGGUGAGAAAAAAGCCCACCAAGGCAACGAUCAGUAGCCGGCUUGAGAGAGUGUACGGCCACAUUGGGACUGAGACACGGCCCAGACUCCUACGGGAGGCAGCAGUGGGGAAUUUUGCACAAUGGGGGAAACCCUGAUGCAGCGACGCCGCGUGAUUUAGAAGGCCUUCGGGUUGUAAAAAUCUUUUGUAUAGGAAGAAAAUGACAGUACUAUACGAAUAAGGUCCGGCUAAUUACGUGCCAGCAGCCGCGGUAAUACGUAAGGACCGAGCGUUGUCCGGAAUCAUUGGGCGUAAAGGGUACGUAGGCGGGUCACUAAGUUAGAAGUCAAAGGCUAUAGCUCAACUAUAGUAAGCUUCUAAAACUGGAGACCUUGAGUAAUGGAAGGGAAAGUGGAAUUCCUAGUGUAGCGGUGGAAUGCGCAGAUAUUAGGAGGAAUACCGGUGGCGAAGGCGACUUUCUG
rnacentral:rRNA from 1 species